AAAUAGAACUUUGCAGAGAGAGUUAAGAGGGCGUGAACCGUUAAUUGGCAAACGAAUCGGAGCCACGAAGUCGUUUCGUUGUUUAGUUGUGUUGGGUUCAGGUGAUAUCGAAAGGUAUCAUUGUAUUCUCAGAUGCAACCACAUUGUAAACGUACACUGCAACCAGUUAGACGAUUGGAAAUGGGCCCAGCUCUAGAGAUGCACCGUUAAAAGUAUGUCUCUAGUGCAAAGCAUUUGUCUGGUCGAGUUAGUAGUAAUCAGCUGCGCUUCGGUGUAUUUUGGUUGCUGGGCUUGAUCAGGUGAACUAUUACCAAAUACUGACUGGCACAAUGAAAAUCAUCCUAUUGGAUGUUUCACAAAAUGCAGUGGUCAAUAUUAUUAGCUACAUGCUUGACCAUUUGGUCUAAGCUCAACAAUUUUGAAUUUGGACUUUCUUGCUACCAAUGGGGCAACUCUUGGUGCUUGUUUAGCUUCCAUCUAAUCGGCUGUUGACUUGGCUGAGUGUUGUUCAAGUAUGAAACGAUUGGCUGGUAAUAUUAGAUCAUUUGCCAUUUUAUUCGCAGUGAGUAGGUCGGCUUUCCGAACGACCCGUCUUGAAACACGGACCAAGGAGUCUAAUUAGGCAUCAGUCGAUCGGUCUUGAUAGGCCAGUGAAGGCGUAAGAAAUCAAAUCAUGUGAUUCAGCUGGACAUACAACAGUCUACUGACGCAACAUGUGCCUGCUCGUAUAGCAAUGUUAAGCAAUUAACUUGCUGGGCGGAGUAAAGAGAUGCUUGAUUGGUACCCGAAAGAUGGUGAACUAUGCCUGGGCAAAUUGAAGCCAGAGGAAACUCUGGUGGAGGAUUGUAGCGAUUCUGACGUGCAAAUCGAUCGUCAGACCUGGGUAUAGGGGCGAAAGACUAAUCGAACCAUC
rnacentral:rRNA from 1 species